rnacentral:rRNA from 1 species
CCAACCACCCUGAGCACGAAUGAUCUUUUCUGAUCUCCUCUGAUCUUGGACACUAAGCAGGAUCGGGCCUGGUUAGUACUGGAUGGAGGAUCACCUGGGAGCUCUAGGGGUUGUUUGGG